CUGAAGGUCUGACCUCUGCAGCAUUUCUGUCUCUGUGUGCUGCUUGCUGUGCAGGACAGGCCUCCCCAGGGCUCUCUGGGCUGCCUGUCUGCUCUGACAUCUCUCACCAGCAGUGCUCCUCAUGCCCAUGCCCACCCUGGGGGCCACACUGCCCUGUGUGCCCGGUGGCACCGGGGCUCUGCGUUCUGUGCAUGCUGCCGAGCUCAGCCCCACCCUGAGCUCGCUGUGCCACACCCAGAGCACUGCUGGGCCAGCACUAAAGAUGGGCUGAGCCUGGCAAGGCUGCAGAGAGGAGUGGGGCCUGUCCAGAGCUGGGCUCAAGCCUCCCUCUGGCUCUCCUGGGCAGCCUGCACGAAGGCUGCGUGCCCUGGUGUGAUGGGAGCAUAAGGAGGACAGCAGUAGUGAAGGGGAGAUGGAGAGAUCUGACUGGGAUCUCAGGAUUUGCUCCGAGUGCCACCAGAGCCAGCUGUGAAGGUGGAGGCAGUAGCCACGCUGGGGAGGAGGACCCCAGGGAUGACAGUGGCCAGCUCAGCAUGGCAAAGCAGGGAAGGGGUCCAGUGACUGCUUUCUGCAGGGAUGGAAAACCCUGACAGUGAGAUCUGCAGCCAAGCCUGUUGCUCUAAGAUUGCUGAGGAAGUUGAAAUCCAAGUCUCAGGCUCAAGUGCCAAGGAGGGGAGAGUUUAUACCACAGCCUGAUCAAGGUGGGAGGCAAAGGAGGUGAGGCCAGACUUCUCCAGCAAAGUACAGGACAUUUGCAGAGUGAAUGUUGUCUUUGUAAAAUUUCAUCUCCUUCUGGAAAGGCUCAAGACAAGGUCAGCCUGCCAGCCUGUUCCUCUCCAGCCAGCAUAGCCCUCCACAACUGUGAAAGCCAAGGCAAGCUGAUCCCUGCCCUUCUGCAAGAUGCCUUCUGUGCCUCUUGAAAAUGCUUUUUCGGUUGUCCUUGUAAAAAAAAAAAUGGUUUGCAUAAUAAAGUCGAUUCUGAGGGAA